ACCUGUGGAAAGGGCGUGGAGCCUCCACUCUGCCAGUCUUUACCUGUAGCGUUGCCUUCUUGAACCACAGAUGUUGGGGACCUGGCACAGUUCUCUGGGCAGUGUCGUUUUCUAGAUGAACUGAAGACUGUAGCUGAAAAACGUGAAUCUCUUCUUUGCCAGGUCCUACGGCAGCAGAACCCCAGGAGAUGCGGCAGCCCACACAGACAAGCUCGUGUUUAAGAGUCAGAUUUGCCCUCUCUCUAGGUGCUCUGGCCAUCUGCUUUUGCUCCCCUUUCUCUGUGGCCAAAGCCCUACUCUGGAAAUUUCCAUCAUUGGUGGUCGUGUGUCGGUCACAGCACACUGGGUUCACUCCAUGGCCUCAUCCUUGGGUAGUGACUUCCCACCCGUCCAGUGCUCCUCUCCAGCCUCAGUCACCAGCAUCUCCUCCUUGGAUUAUUGCAAUGACUCCUAAGCAUCAGCAUUAAGCAUCAACACAGAUGAAUCUUCCUCCUACAGACAUUAGAUCAUGUCACACCGCUGCCCAGAACCUCCCAGUGGCUUCCAGUAUCAUGUAGAAUAAAAGAAAAGUCUUUCCCUGGGCCUCUCUUGAAAAAACUCAUAAUCUAACCAUUUAUCCACUUGUCCCUCACUGUCUCCUGCUACUUUACCCUUCACCCCGUUCCCACUGCACCAAACACACCACUGUUUGCAUUUCUGCUGGAAUGCUCUUCCCCUGGAGAUCCACAGACUCAUUCUCUCACCUGUUUCAAGCCUUUGCUUAAAGAACACUUUAUCUUUUUUUUUUUUUUUGAAAUGGAGUAUCACUCUAUUGCCCGGGCUGGAGGGCAGUGGGGCGAUCUCAGCUCACUAACCUCUGCCUUCGGGGUUCAGGCGAUUCUCGUUCCUUAGCCUCCUGAGUAGCUGGGAUUACAGGUGCGCACCACCAUGUCCGGCUAAUUUUUGUGUUUUUAGUAGAGAUGGGGUUUCACCAUGUUGGCCAGGCUGGUCUCAAACUCCUGACCUCAGGAAAUCUGCCCGCCUUGGCCUCCCAAGUUGCAAGGAUUACAGGCGUGAGCCACCAUGCCCGGCCAUAAACACUUUUUCUAGUGAGGCCUUCUCUAGCCUAUUUACUCUGUUUAAUUCUCUCUGUUUAUUCCCUGUUUAAGCCUCCUCCCCGCUCCCAGCACUCUCUACUUCCCUUCCCCACCUCAUGCUUCUCUGCAGCCCUUCUCAUGUUCAGAAGUAGCCUAGAAUUUAUUUAUGUGCACGUAUUCACUUUCCCAUUAGUAAACCCAGGAAGGCAGGAGUCUCCUGUGUUCACUGCUCCGUCCCCAGUGCAGGGUGUAGGACAGGUGGUUAACAGCGUUUAUGGCAUGGUUGGAUGAACCUGUAUGUAUCUCACUUUGGUCCAGGGUCCAAGCAGGUGCUGUCACCAGGGAGCAGCAAGGAAUGUCACAACCAGUAGGACACCACCUGCCUCACCCACCUGCCAAGCUGAUUGAUGGCUUUAUGGAUGACUUAUAGGGUUGCUUUUGGCUGCCUUCUGGUGGGACCACCUCUCUUCCCCACCCUCUCCAUCCCAAACGUGCUUUUCCUCUUCUCAUGUUUCCUAUUUUGGGGACAGGUACCACUAUUCAUUUUGUGUCUGCAGCUAGAAAUGGGGCACCCCUUACCUCCCCUCCGCUCACAUUCAUCAAGGCCUUUUGAAUCUAUCCCAUAAAUAUCUCCAUUGUCAGCCACCCUCUAUUCCCAUUGCCCUCACCACUAGUGCCUCCUGCGUUUGGAUCCUGACCACUGCUUUCCCACUAGCCUCUCUGGUGGCUCAUCUGCAACCAGAAGAUCUGCCCCUGGUGCAAAUCCUGUUAGGUCACUCCUCCUCUGCCUUAACCCCUCAGUGGCUCCCCUGUUCUGCUGCUUGAACUUGUCUGAGGAUCUGCCCCUGUCGACUUUGCCAGCUCUGUUCAUUCCAACUCAGUCACUACCCUUUGGCCAUAGGAGCUGCUGGCUGUGCUCCAGACUUUUUCUUACUGUUCCAUCCCUGUGCCUCUGCACAAGCUGAAACCUGCACCUCCGUGUCCUCUCCUCAUUACACUUGAAGACAGCUCAGGUGUCACUUCCUUCAAGAAGCCAUAAUUUUUUUUUUUUUGUUUUUUUGAGACAGAGUCUCACUGUGUCACCCAGGCUGGAGUGCGGUGGUGCGAUCUUGGCUCACUGCAACCAUCCUACACCCUUUGGGCUUAAGCGAUUCUUUUGCCUCAGCCUCCUGAAUAGCUGGGAUUAUAGGUGCACACCAUCACACCCAACUAAUUUUUGUAUUUUUAGUAGAGACAGAGUUGCGCCAUGUUGGUCAGGCUGGUCUUGAAUUCCCGAUCUCAAGUGAUCUGCCUGCCUCUGUCUCCCAAGUUGCUGGGAUUACAGGUGUGAGCCACCAUGCCCAGCCAGGAAGCCAUCUCUUAAACCUGGGAUGAAUUGAGGCAUUUCCUUUGUGGUUCCCUUGUCCCCUGGGCUUCCCUGUGUCCUGGACCUGACUGUCAUUCCAGUGUCUGCCUAAACCACAGUGGAUGCUCAGUAAUAUUUGUUGAAUGGACUGGAUUUUCACUGCCUGUUUAUUUGCCUACAAAAAAUCAGUGAUUAAAAAAAUUUGUUCAGCAUAUACCUUUUGAGGACCUACUGGUGCCAAACACUGACUGCGGUGCUGGGGAUACUGCUGUGGGCAAGAGCAACAGAGCCUCACUCUCGAGGAGGCAGGGGUGGGUCCAGCCCACCUUCGGGUCCCAGGAUGCAGCACGGGGCUGUGUGCAGAGUGCAUAUGCUCUCCGUACUGAUUGAAUAAAUACAGGAACAUUGGCUGACUGUUGGACAACGGUACGCUCAAUCCUUCACCCCAUUCUCCCUUCCAUGAACAGGCUUUCUUUUUUUCUUUAAUCUCAGAAGGUUAUGGGAAUAGAAACAGCCAUGGUGUCAAGAAUACUGACAUUCAUUGAGCAUUUGGGCAGGUCCUUUGACAUUGCUGAGCUCAUUUCAUUUUCCUCUCCACCUUGCAAGGCAGGACUUUGUCUGAUUUUCCAGAUGGAGGGAAUUGAGCCUAAGAACGGUGACUUGCUCAGGUGUGGCAGCCAAGAGGAACAGCUGGUAUUUUAAUGUAGUUUUUUCUGAAGCCAGAUUUUAUUCUGUCUGUACAAUUGCAGAAUGAGAUGUUCAGAACCACCUUGGCCUCCAAGAGUUGAUAGUAAGUGGAUUUUAAAUGGAAAGGCUCCAUCUGAAGCCUGGCAGAACAGCAUAACAGUUAAGAGCACACUCCUUUUUAACUUGGAUGGACUUCAGUUCCUAAUUCCUGUUGCAUCUUGCUGUGUAAUUUCGGGCCAUUUAGCCUCCUUGAACCUCAGUUUUCCAGUCUGUACAAUGGUAUGGUGAAACCUACCCGCAGAAUGCCAUUUUAAGGAUUUGGUGACAUAAAGAUGUCAAGUGCUUUGCAGGGUAUGCGGCACACAGUAGGUGUUUAAUAUCACUGAGAUGCUGGCUGGGACAGUGGGGUGUGGUGUUUCUUGCAUUGCCAGUACCCGUCUCUAGAGGGAAGCAGGAGCCAAAGAAAAGGGCCCUUGGGCUGUCCCCAGUGGGCUGUGAGUUUCAGGUCUCUAGGGACCCCACAGCACUUUGAUCAGAAUAAGAAAGAUCAGUGAGGUCAAACAGGAAGUCGUCUGGAGAUAGGGGAGCCCUUAGGAGUCUUUCAGCACAGCAGGGGAGACUGGGACCCAGAGACAGAGAAACAGUGGGGUCAAGGCGAAUAAGGGGUGCUUCUUGUAGCAAAGUGAAUAGGUGUCCAGGAGUGGCGGGGACAUUUUCUGUUUUAGUACAGAAAAAUUACUCCCUCCUACCCUUAGGUCUAACCUAAGCUGCAGCUGGCAGAGUGGACAGGAGGCUGUCUGUGAUGUCACAGAGUGAGGGAACUGGGGAAUACUGGGGACAGUGGGGUUUGGAUUGAACCACCAAGGCAGGGAGGAGGGAGGACAUAUGCUGAACCCCUCCCCAGCAGUCCAUCCCUUUGUCCACCAUGCCGUAAUGUCCACUGUGCCUAUCAGGAGGGGGAUGUUGGUGAAUUCCCGACUGCUGCCGCCUCCUCUCCUGUCCUGGCAUCUGUGCUAUUGUGGCAGAAGCCAGCCCCAGAGUGGGCUGCAGAUUCUCCCAGUGUGAUUAGAUGGGGCCCACCCAGGUAAUUGUGAAUUAUCUCAAGGUCGCUGAUUAGCAACCUUAAUUGUAUCUUCAACUUUAAUCUUUUGCAGUGGGGUCAUAUUCUGUCUACCACAGUGUUUAAACACUUGUAUCAAGAAAAUAAAAGAAUGAAAUAAUUUCCCAAUUCUAAAAGCUGGAAAAAGAACAACAAAGUAAUGAAAAGGAUGUAUCAGAUUGAAAGCAGAAUUUACUAGAGUAUUAAAAAGCAGAUCUAAUUAAUCAAAAUCUUUUUUUGAAAAAAAUUAACAAAAUAGAAAUACUAUGUAGCUUAAUCAGGAAAAAAAGGAGAAGGCACAAAUACAUAAAAUUAGAAAGAAUAAGGGGGAAAUAAUUGUUGAAACAAAAGAAAUUUUAAAAAUCUUGAGAGUCCAUAAUAUACUUUUAUGUAAAAAAGCUUGAAAAACUAUGAAGUAGAUAGUUUUCUGGGAAAAUACAGUUUAUUAAAUUGAUUGCAUUAAAGAUAGAAACUAUCAAUUUCUGUAGAGGAAAUUUAUUAAGCAACUAUCCUCCCCCAAAUAGGCAACAGGUCCAGAUGGUUUCACAAGGAGAGUUUCACCAAGCUUUUAAAGACCAGUUACAGUACUACAUAAAUUGUUCUAGAACAUAUAAAAUAAAACUUCCAAAUUCUUUUCGUGAAGCAAGUGUAUAUUGAUAACCACAUGUGAUAGGGAUAAUACAAAAAGAAAAUUACAAGGCAAUGUCACCUACCAAUACGGAUACAAAAGUUCUCAGUAAAAUAUUAGUGAACAGAAUCCAACCUCAUAGUAUGAAGAUAAUAAAUCAUGGUCAGGUGAAAUUUAUCUGUGGAAUGGAAGUUUGAUUCGAUAUGAGUAAAGAAACUGUGAUUUUUUUCUUAUAGAUGCUGAAAAAAGAAAAAAGAGGGAAUUGAUGGAUAUUAUAUUAAUAUGAUAAAAUGGCACUCUCUCUCUCUCUCUCUCUCUCUUUAUUUCUACCUCUAUGCCUUUGUCCUAAACCCAGCUUCUUCCUUAAUUUGCAAAUACUGGAGCUAUUUAAAAUCAGGAACGAAGCACAGAUAUCUACUAACUUUAACAUUGUAGCGGUGGCAUUAACCAUUGCAAUCAGAAAAGGUAAAUCAGAGACAUAAAAAUUAGAAGAAGAAGAAAUUAAAGUAUUUCUACCUGCAGAUUACAUAAUAGUAUUACUGGUAAACCAUAGGAAAGCAAAAACAAAACUGCUCAAAAGGUGAAAGAAUUCAGAGGGAAGCAAGGCGUACAAUUAGCACACUGAACUCAAUAGUGUUAUUAUAUGUAAGCAAUAACUAACUACAACAAUAGUGAGAGAGAAAACUUCAUUUACAAUAGCAACAAAAGAUAAAAUACUUAGGAGUAAAGUUAAUAAGAAAUUUGCAAAAUUAAUAUAAAGAACACUUGAAAAUAGUCCUGAUAGCCAACAAAGUAGGUUUGAACAAAUGAAAAGCCACUGGUUGGUGGCUAGGAAGAAUCAAUGUUAUAGAUGUGUCAGUUCUUCCUGAUUUAUAAUUUUCCCUAAUUUGUAAAUUUAGCACAAUCGUGAUGAAAAUAACAUCAAGAUUUUUUCUGAAGCUAGACAAAUUGAUCCCAACAUUUACAUGAAAAAACAAGCAAGAAUAAAACAGGCAGACUCCCCAGUGGAGUAGAAUAGAAAGUUCAGAAAGAGACACAAAUAUAUAUGAAAAUUUAGUAUAUGAUAAUAAAGGUGUCAUCUCAGAUGGAUGAUUGGACCAAAGAUAUUCUCCUUAAUAAAUAUGCUGAAAUGACUAUAUAAUCAUUUGGAGAAAGUGUAAAGUUAGAUCCAUACUCCCUAAAUACAUAAUAAUAAAUGCCAAAUGGAACAGGUUAUACUUCUAAUGUAUAAUGCCAUACAGGCAAACGAAGAACUGUGGGUAAAUUCCUCUAUAAACUGGAUGUAGGGAAAGGCUUUCUAAUGACAACCCAAAGUCCAGAUUCAAUGAAACAUUAAUAAACUUGACUUUGAGGAGCUAGUAUUUCUAGUAUAUAAACAGCACUCAAAAA